rnacentral:rRNA from 1 species
GGAGCUUGCUCCACCGAAAGAAAAGGAGUGGCGAACGGGUGAGUAACACGUGGGUAACCUGCCCAUCAGAAGGGGAUAACACUUGGAAACAGGUGCUAAUACCGUAUAACAAUCGAAACCGCAUGGUUUUGAUUUGAAAGGCGCUUUCGUGUCGCUGAUGGAUGGACCCGCGGUGCAUUAGCUAGUUGGUGAGGUAACGGCUCACCAAGGCCACGAUGCAUAGCCGACCUGAGAGGGUGAUCGGCCACAUUGGGACUGAGACACGGCCCAAACUCCUACGGGAGGCAGCAGUAGGGAAUCUUCGGCAAUGGACGAAAGUCUGACCGAGCAACGCCGCGUGAGUGAAGAAGGUUUUCGGAUCGUAAAACUCUGUUGUUAGAGAAGAACAAGGAUGAGAGUAACUGUUCAUCCCUUGACGGUAUCUAACCAGAAAGCCACGGCUAACUACGUGCCAGCAGCCGCGGUAAUACGUAGGUGGCAAGCGUUGUCCGGAUUUAUUGGGCGUAAAGCGAGCGCAGGCGGUUUCUUAAGUCUGAUGUGAAAGCCCCCGGCUCAACCGGGGAGGGUCAUUGGAAACUGGGAGACUUGAGUGCAGAAGAGGAGAGUGGAAUUCCAUGUGUAGCGGUGAAAUGCGUAGAUAUAUGGAGGAACACCAGUGGCGAAGGCGACUCUCUGGUCUGUAACUGACGCUGAGGCUCGAAAGCGUGGGGAGCAAACAGGAUUAGAUACCCUGGUAGUCCACGCCGUAAACGAUGAGUGCUAAGUGUUGGAGGGUUUCCGCCCUUCAGUGCUGCAGCUAACGCAUUAAGCACUCCGCCUGGGGAGUACGACCGCAAGGUUGAAACUCAAAGGAAUUGACGGGGGCCCGCACAAGCGGUGGAGCAUGUGGUUUAAUUCGAAGCAACGCGAAGAACCUUACCAGGUCUUGACAUCCUUUGACCACUCUAGAGAUAGAGCUUCCCCUUCGGGGGCAAAGUGACAGGUGGUGCAUGGUUGUCGUCAGCUCGUGUCGUGAGAUGUUGGGUUAAGUCCCGCAACGAGCGCAACCCUUAUUGUUAGUUGCCAUCAUUUAGUUGGGCACUCUAGCAAGACUGCCCGUGACAAACCGGAGGAAGGUGGGGAUGACGUCAAAUCAUCAUGCCCCUUAUGACCUGGGCUACACACGUGCUACAAUGGGAAGUACAACGAGUCGCGAAGUCGCGAGGCUAAGCUAAUCUCUUAAAGCUUCUCUCAGUUCGGAUUGUAGGCUGCAACUCGCCUACAUGAAGCCGGAAUCGCUAGUAAUCGCGGAUCAGCACGCCGCGGUGAAUACGUUCCCGGGCCUUGUACACACCGCCCGUCACACCACGAAAGUUUGUAACACCCGAAGUCGGUGAGGUAACCUUUUGGAGCCAGCCCCCUAAGGUGGGAUAAAU